rnacentral:rRNA from 1 species
CCCUUAGAUGUUCUGGGCCGCACGCGCGCUACACUGAUGCACUCAACGAGUCUCCACCUUGACCGAAAGGUCUGGGAAACCUUCGAACUUGCAUCGUGAUGGGGAUAGAUUAUUGCAACUAUUAAUCUUCAACGAGGAAUACCUAGUAGGCGUGUGUCAUCAGCGCACGUCGAUUACGUCCCUGCCCUUUGUACACACCGCCCGUCGCACCUACCGAUUGAAUGGUCCGGUGAAAUCUCGGGACGGCGGCUUGGUCGCUUGCGUCCGACUGCUGAAACUUGAUUAAACCAUAUCAUUUAGAGGAAGGUGAAGUCGUAACA